rnacentral:rRNA from 1 species
CCUACGGGAGGCUGCAGUGAGGAAUAUUGGUCAAUGGCCGGAAGGCUGAACCAGCCAAGCCGCGUGCAGGACGAAGGUGCCAAGCAUUGUAAACUUCUUUUGUACAAGGACAAACUUGGAUACGAGAGUCUGACCGAGGGUACUUGACGAAAAAGCAUCGGCUAACUCCGUGCCAGCAGCCGCGGUAAUACGGAGGAUGCAAGCGUUAUCCGGAUUUAUUGGGUUUAAAGGGUGCGUAGGCGGACUGUUAAGUUAGCGGUAAAAGCCCGGGGCUAAACCCCGGCGAGCCGUUAAAACUGGGUGUCUAGAGAGUAGGUGAGGUAUGCGGAAUGUACGGUGUAGCGGUGAAAUGCUUAGAGAUUGCGCAGAACACCGAUUGCGAAGGCAGCAUACCGGCGGAGAUCUGACGCUGAGGCACGAAAGCGUGGGUAUCGAACAGGAUUAGAUACCCGUGUAGUC